rnacentral:rRNA from 1 species
UACGUAGGGUGCAAGCGUUGUCCGGAAUUAUUGGGCGUAAAGAGCUCGUAGGCGGUCUGUCGCGUCUGCUGUGAAAACUCGGGGCUUAACCCCGGGCCUGCAGUGGGUACGGGCAGACUAGAGUGCGGUAGGGGAGACUGGAAUUCCUGGUUUAGCGGUGAAAUGCGCAGAUAUCAGGAGGAACACCGGUGGCGAAGGCGGGUCUCUGGGCCGUAACUGACGCUGAGGUUCGAAAGCGUGGGGAGCAAACAGG